rnacentral:tRNA from 1 species
UCUAAUAUGGCAGAUAAGUGCACUGGAGUUAAGUUCCAUAAAUAAAGAGGAGUCUUUUAUUAGAA